rnacentral:rRNA from 1 species
UACAGAGGUCUCAAGCGUUGUUCGGAUUCAUUGGGCGUAAAGGGUGCGUAGGCGGCGCGGUAAGUCGGGUGUGAAAUCGUCGGGGCUUAACUCCGAAACUGCAUUCGAUACUGCCGUGCUUGAGGACUGGAGAGGAGACUGGAAUUCAUGGUGUAGCAGUGAAAUGCGUAGAGAUCAUGAGGAAGACCAGUGGCGAAGGCGGGUCUCUGGACAGUUCCUGACACUGAGACACGAAGGCCAGGGGAGCAAAACGGG